AGUGAACGCUGGCGGUAGGCCUAACACAUGCAAGUCGAACGGCAGCACAGUAAUAGCGUGGUCUUACGGGGGGCGAGGGGCGGACGGGUGAGGUAUACAGCGGAAUCUACUUUUUAGAGGGGGAUAACGUAGGGAAACUUACGGUAAUACCGCAUACGACCUGCGCGUGAAAGCAGGGGAGCUUCGGACCUUGCGCGAUGGAGUGAGAGGAUGUCGGGGUGGCGAGUUGGCGGGGUAAAGGCCCACCAAGGCGACGAUCCGUAGCUGGUCUGAGCGAAUGAUCAGCCACACUGCAACUGAGACACCGUCCAGACUCCUACGGGAGCCCGCAGUGGGGACUAUUGGACGAUGGGCGCAAGCAUGAUCCAGCAAUACCGCGUGGGUGAACAAGGCCUUCGGGUUGUAAAGCCCUUUUGUUGGGAAAGAAAAGCAGCAGGUUCAUACGCCGCUGCUAUGACGGUACCCAAAGAAUAAGCACCGGCUAACUCCGUG
rnacentral:rRNA from 1 species